ACGUAUAUUGAAGGAAUUGCCCUGUACAGUCCAUAAACUGCCACGGAAGGACUGCCCUUGUUUGUUUCCCUAUCAUCUCCAUAGGUUUCCUGUGAAUGAAGAUCGUCGUCGUGUUUGGGUGUCACGUGUUAAUCGGAAGGAUUUUCACCCAUCUGAUAGCAGUGUGAUAUGCUCAAUUCAUUUUUGGGAUUGCCAUCCAAGCAAACAAAAUCCUGAUCCAGUCUUAAAUUUGGGAUAUCAAAGAAAGGUGACACAAGGGAGAAGGACCAUUUUCCGACACCCUCUCUCUGAUGUUUCUCGGACCCCAAGGAGCAAUCAACUG